rfam:Aedes albopictus isolate Foshan contig82858, whole genome shotgun sequence.
AAAACAGCCCUUCUCAGGGCUACAAGCCGUAUUCCUUAAAAGAGUUU